ACAUUGGACCAGAGGUUGCAGAGAACAGAGGAUCCCGUCCGCUCUCCUGUACUUAAGCUGCAAACCGGUGGAUUAGUAUUAGCGUCGGUGACGAGCUGAGAAUCCCCACUGUUCAAUGUG
rnacentral:rRNA from 1 species